GACGAACGCUGGCGGCGUGCUUAACACAUGCAAGUCGAACGGAGGAUUUAUUUCGGUAAAUCCUUAGUGGCGAACGGGUGAGUAACGCGUGGGCAAUCUGCCCUUCAGAUGGGGACAACAUCCCGAAAGGGGUGCUAAUACCGAAUACGAUCACGCUGCCGCAUGGCGGUGUGAUGAAAGAUGGCCUCUAUUUAUAAGCUAUCGCUGAAGGAUGAGCCUGCGUCUGAUUAGCUAGUUGGUGGGGUAACGGCCUACCAAGGCGAUGAUCAGUAGCCGGUCUGAUAGGAAGAACGGCCAGAUUGGGACUGAGACACGGCCCAAACUCCUACGGGAGGCAGCAGUUGGGAAUAGUCCGCAAUGGACGAAAGUCUGACGGAGCAACGCCGCGUGAGUGAUGAAGGUUUUCGGACUGUAAAGCUCUGUUGUUUAGGACGAAAGUGCCUGUUGCGAACAGUUACAGGUAUUGACGGUACUGAACGAGGAAGCCACGGCUAACUACGUGCCAGCCGCCGCAGUAA
rnacentral:rRNA from 1 species